rnacentral:rRNA from 1 species
UGCAGUCGAACGAUGAUGCCCAGCUUGCUGGGUGGAUUAGUGGCGAACGGGUGAGUAACACGUGAGUAACCUGCCCCUGACUCUGGGAUAAGCGUUGGAAACGACGUCUAAUACUGGAUAUGACUGCCGGCCGCAUGGUCUGGUGGUGGAAAGAUUUUUUGGUUGGGGAUGGACUCGCGGCCUAUCAGCUUGUUGGUGAGGUAAUGGCUCACCAAGGCGACGACGGGUAGCCGGCCUGAGAGGGUGACCGGCCACACUGGGACUGAGACACGGCCCAGACUCCUACGGGAGGCAGCAGUGGGGAAUAUUGCACAAUGGGCGAAAGCCUGAUGCAGCAACGCCGCGUGAGGGAUGACGGCCUUCGGGUUGUAAACCUCUUUUAGUAGGGAAGAAGCGAAAGUGACGGUACCUGCAGAAAAAGCACCGGCUAACUACGUGCCAGCAGCCGCGGUAAUACGUAGGGUGCAAGCGUUGUCCGGAAUUAUUGGGCGUAAAGAGCUCGUAGGCGGUUUGUCGCGUCUGCUGUGAAAUCCCGAGGCUCAACCUCGGGCUUGCAGUGGGUACGGGCAGACUAGAGUGCGGUAGGGGAGAUUGGAAUUCCUGGUGUAGCGGUGGAAUGCGCAGAUAUCAGGAGGAACACCGAUGGCGAAGGCAGAUCUCUGGGCCGUAACUGACGCUGAGGAGCGAAAGCAUGGGGAGCGAACAGGAUUAGAUACCCUGGUAGUCCAUGCCGUAAACGUUGGGCGCUAGAUGUAGGGACCUUUCCACGGUUUCUGUGUCGUAGCUAACGCAUUAAGCGCCCCGCCUGGGGAGUACGGCCGCAAGGCUAAAACUCAAAGGAAUUGACGGGGGCCCGCACAAGCGGCGGAGCAUGCGGAUUAAUUCGAUGCAACGCGAAGAACCUUACCAAGGCUUGACAUACACCGGAAACGGCCAGAGAUGGUCGCCCCCUUGUGGUCGGUGUACAGGUGGUGCAUGGUUGUCGUCAGCUCGUGUCGUGAGAUGUUGGGUUAAGUCCCGCAACGAGCGCAACCCUCGUUCUAUGUUGCCAGCGCGUUAUGGCGGGGACUCAUAGGAGACUGCCGGGGUCAACUCGGAGGAAGGUGGGGAUGACGUCAAAUCAUCAUGCCCCUUAUGUCUUGGGCUUCACGCAUGCUACAAUGGCCGGUACAAAGGGCUGCGAUACCGUAAGGUGGAGCGAAUCCCAAAAAGCCGGUCUCAGUUCGGAUUGAGGUCUGCAACUCGACCUCAUGAAGUCGGAGUCGCUAGUAAUCGCAGAUCAGCAACGCUGCGGUGAAUACGUUCCCGGGCCUUGUACACACCGCCCGUCAAGUCAUGAAAGUCGGUAACACCCGAAGCCGGUGGCCUAACCC